AUCCUUUUGUGGUUCAUAAGACUUUUGGGUUUCAUACUAUUUUGUGAGAUGUGCCUCCCUCAAACCUUGUUACAAUGUCAGCACAUUACCCAUCUGAUG